CCAGUGCUGACCCUUUAUUCCAGAGAGUGGAUGCCUUUGUGUGACGUUGUGGUGUAUUAUAUCAAAGUUUGAAAGUUUAUUGUUAAUUUGAAACCCAUUUGGAUUUAAUCUACUUUACUUUUCAUUGACAACCCAGUUGGGAUUUCAUUCAUGGAUAAAUCUGGAUUUGGAACCAUUGGGCUCAAGUUCUGGAUAGUACUAAAUGUUUGUCUCUUGGUCAAUGGUCAACUGUCUAAUAACGAAUGUGGCCUUGAUCAAACCUCCCUACACAAGACGGGAUGGUCGGGCAUGGUACGUAGUCAAAAUGGAACUAAAUAUUGCGUAUGGAAGAUACAGGUUCCAGCCGGAAACUUAGUCAAGAUCAAUUUCACGCUUCUACUGAUAGAUGGCUUUAUUCCGAGCUCGGACUGUACCCGGCACGGCGUCAAGGUGACGGGUGGAAAUGUGAGUAGGUUAUUUUGCCUAACCUCGACUACGACUGACUGGAUAGUACCGUCCAAUGAGGUGGAGAUAUCGAUUGUAUCUGCCGAUAAACUACACCGAAGUAACAUAUUCGCCUUGAUUUAUGAAGG